rnacentral:tRNA from 1 species
GGUCGCUUAGCUCAGCCGGAUAGAGCGUUGCCCUCCGGAGGCAAAGGUCAGAGGUUCGAAUCCUCUAGCGAUCA